CGGUACUUCAAUUCCUGUUAUUAUUUAAAAAGUGCGGGAAAUUUUAACAUAGAUUAGAUUGUGAAAUUUGGAAGACGUGGGAGUUUCUCUCUCCAGAACGAAACUAUUUUAUUUUCCUUUAGUUCUAAAAUGGCAAUCAGUUACAAAGAGGCAUCUUUACACAAUAUGCUACAAUCUCGAAAGAGAAAGAACAUGGCUAGUUCUUGUGAAACUCUCCAAAAUUCUACCUGUAAGAUGAUUUCUUACCAUCAGAAUGUAAAUUUUCCUUUUGCUCAGGUAACCCAAAUAAAUGUCUCCGGUGAUUCCAAAACAACUUUACCAG
rnacentral:lncRNA from 1 species